GGGAAAUUAGCUUAAACAGUGUUCAUUAAACGUAGCCAGUCUGCCUGGCUGUUGUUGCAACAGAUGCUUUCUCACGGCGAACCUUAUGCUCUCUCAGACCAAACCGACCCAGACACACCUUAUGCUCACGUUUUUUUUUGUACGCAGUAACACGCAGAUGUAUGUCUGUUCCUCGCAGGACACUGCAUCAGUGUAUUAUACACGUUUCUUUGAAUAGUUUAUCCAAAGUUUUACGCUGUUAACAGAAGUAUUUAAAUCAUUCCUGUCUCAUUGUCUCAGAGUGUUUGGAAGCCAUACACGUUUAUAUAGUGGUCCUGAAGUCCAGGAUUUUGUUGCGAUGGAUGUUGUUCCCCGGCUCCAAAUAUCGCUCUCACACUUCUAAAACUGCUUUUUUUUUGUAUAUGUACAAUGGCUCUACUAGAUUUAGGUAUUACAAAUUGAUCAUUGUGAAAUUAGUUGUCGCAUUAAAGUCGAGGUGCCUGCGCCUCAGCGUUUUUGUUUACACGAACAAAAGGAGAAAAUCCAUUUUAUAGGUUUAAAAGAUUGAUGAGGAACCAAAUAUGUACAAGGGUUCACGUGUUUUAGGCUAUCGUGAUGUUGCAUGAGUGUGAAUGUUUUGUUGAGGUUACAUGGCAGGGCUUUGAAGGAUAAAACUGGAGAGAUUUUUAUUUACAUUUUUUCUUGAUUGUCAACAAAACCAAUAAUGUUGUGCAUCUUGGUGGCCCUCAGCUCCGCUUUAGUUGGUUCAUAAUCGGAUACAUUUAACGAGGCUCAUUAAAUGUAUCUAAUUUCCUCAAAAACACAUGGGCAUUGUAGUUUUUUACCAAACAAUUAGAAGGUUCAUGUGUGGGGACUAGUUUAUGCAGUGGAUGUUGUGGCUGUUUGUAUGUUUUUUUUUCCAUCUAAGAGUGCAUGUGGGAAAAUACAAAAUACACAGUGUCUUUGUCUGAGAUCAUAAAAAUUACACAUUUACUGGGAUAGUUUAUAUUUUUUUUUUCAUAUGAUUUGUUGACAAAAACACAGAAUAUGAAGGAAUUCUUACUUUAAAACAGAGACAUAUUCUUGCUAAUAUCAAAACCAGCACCAUAAAGCCUGUUUUGCUUUUGUGCAAAUACAUUGCUACGUUUCAUGAAUUGCUUGUUGGAUUGUUAAAAAGUGAAAUGGGUCAUGCUUUAGUUAUAAUUAGAAUGUAUUUACAAGCAGAGGCAGAGUGUAGUUUGCUAUUAACAUGGUAUAUAUAUGCAAAAGCAUUUAAAUAUACAUAGAAGUUGUUGACCAAUGCUUAAAAAUACAUUACAUGCUGCUGCUAAAAGCUAAAUAGUGCUACGCCGAUUAUUUGUGCGUCAUUCCUUUUGUCAUGUUUAACUGGGAAUCUUUCACAUUUCAGUAGUAUAUGUUCCGACACGCUACUCGGCUUGUAGGAUGUCACUUCCUGAGAGCCACGUUGCCAUGGUAACCCAACCUCAUCUGAGUUAAGCCGAGCACAAAUAAAUUUAUCCUUGGCAAACUGAAAACUUUUUAAAUUUAAACACUUAAAUUGAAGCAUUUUUGAUAUCAGGUCUCAGUGCGUUGCAUAAUAGGACAUUUAUGCCCGGUGUGGAGUCCUGCGACACAUCCUCUAAUGUUCCCUCAGAAACAUGCAACUAGUGUAUUUCAGUACAUUCGUUGGUUUCGGCACGCUAAAAAACGACUUCAGUAUGUAAAUUUGGAUGCGAUUCUAAUCGUGCUUUUUGUAAGUUGUUUUUCGUUCCCAAGUUCAAAACAGAAAGUGACUUUUGACUUGUAAUUUGGAUGACCAGCUAGCUACAGACUUUUCUGUGUAAACCUUUACAAGAAGUUAAAGGUAUAAUGUCGAACGUCACUAUGAGCUCAUUUUAUAUUUUGAAAAUUGAAGUUUUGUACUGGAUCACUGCAAUGAUGCUACAGAAAUAAUGAAAUGUUACAAAUUCCACAUCACGUCUGUUGCACAUGUAAUUCUAAGAAAAAUACCGGAUCAAAAUCAGGGAGGGAAGUGUGUAUUAAGAUAUUUUAAUUAAAACUAGUUCCUUUUUCCAUUACAUAAAUGUGGCUUAAAAGCAAAGCCUAAUUUCAACAUGUAAACUGUGAAUGCAAAAGGUGAACUUUUGCAUUAAAGCUUCCUGGUCAGACAGAUCAUAUGUCAAAAUCUUGUUUCCAGUCUUUUCUUUUUUACGUGACUUGUAAAAUCUAAAUUACAAAGUAUUAUUUUUUGCAAUUAAUAUAUAAACAGCACUUUUUUUAAUGUUAUUAUUUGGGAUCUUUAGUUGAAUAUAGAAAAUAUGAAUGAGACAUGGACUGCUUGAAUUAAAUGAAUUUGAACCAGGGCUCUGUUAUGUUUCACCCCAACACACUGCUGGACUGCUAAAAGCAGCUCAGGGUCAUCCAGAGCAUCUGAACUUGGAGUCCAUUAGACAGGAGUUUAAAAGAUUCAGCUCCAGUGGGUAUUCAGAGGCAGUCCCUUUACAGGACAGUGCAUUUACACCAAACAGCAAACGGGCUGACUUACUCACAGAUGCAAGUUUGCAAGGUUUGAAUUUCCUAAGGUGAAUGUAGUCAUGUUCUGUAUUUCAUUGUACUAAAGUUUGUUUUACUAAGGACAUAUCAAGUGGAAAUGGGUAAUGUUUAAUAAGAUGGGAUCGGAAACAUAAAAAAGCAUCAGCCAAAAAUGUUUUCAUUAUGUUACAGCUUUUAAGGUCAGCAGAAAUUUACACCAGCAAGUUUGAGACUUAAGGCAACUACAUUUCACUGAAACCUGUAACCAAACAUACUGAUUUAUUUAUUUUUUGAUCAAUACAAGUCAGCUACAAGUCAAUAAUCGAUCAUUUUAACUUGAUGCCACAAAAGGACACCAGCUAAAAUCAGCGUUUACACUUUCAGAUUAAAGAAACGAGAAGGGAUGGGUAACCUUUAAUCCACUAAUGUGAUGGUGUUCUGUCAUUCUGACGUUAUAUUAAUGUGCUCCCAGUGGCAGAGACACCUUCCUCCCCAGUGUGUAGAGAUACUGCUGCGGUGGUGGGAGUGCAUCUCCUUCUGCAGGGCCGUUUGAGUGGCCCAUUCCUGCCAUCCUCCUUUGCCUCUUUAAACCUUGUGCUUGCAUUCCUUCCGGUCCUGCCUGUGCUUUUUCAUGUUGACCAAAAGCCUGUGCAAGUCAUCAGUGUGCUGAUGCCUCUGUUUUGUUUAGUUUUCCCCCCUAAUUUCAGUGGUUGUAAUCAUGUGAGUGCCCAUCUGUAGAUUACACUGAGAUUAAAGGGGAGGAUGUGCUUGUCUGAAAUGGGCUUUUGUGACUUUUAAAGGUGCUGAUGGAGGUUAUACCUUUGGACUGAACCUGUAAAUUAUUAGGCUCUAAUUUAAAAUACUUACAGAGCCCACUCUUCAGAUAAAAGUCAGGUAAAUGUGUAUUAAAUAACCAAAAAAAGUAGUCCUCCAUCAAGGCUCAUGUCCCAUCCACAUCAAAAUUUAAUAGGUUCUUCCUUUACACAUUCCUCUCCAUCUCCUGACCUUCGCCUUCUACUCUACUAAAAGCAUCACUGAAAAAAAACAGAAACAAUUUUAGCUGUUGAGCAGAUUGACAUUUUGAUGGUAAACAUGAAGCUUCACAAGCAGCAGUACAUAGCAGGCUGAUGAAUCUUCGGCUGAUCGUUUAAGUGAAAUGUGAAAACGACAGAAUCCCACCGAAAGUAAAAACAAGGUUCCUUCCUGAGCUUUUGCAAAACUUAUAUUUAAGGACAGUUAUUAUUAAAAGUUCAUCAGUCAUGUGUGUUCAUUACUGCUUUGCCUUUCUUAUGACAGGAAUGUGUUUAAGUGGUGAAAAUGGGACUGCGUUUUGUUCAUUUUUUCCAAAUGUGUGUCUCAUGAAGUCGCCUUUAACUGCAUUGAUUGUGACAGGCUUCUGAUGUCUCUCCUCCAAAAUGCGCUUGUACAAAAAGCACACUGACUGGAAAAAAACAACAAAAACCCCAUUGUGUGAAUGCUCCAUGGAUGGUUGUGUUCCAAGUUUGUAUUCCCACUGCAAAAAUAAAGACAGU
ensembl:lncRNA